CUCGGCUCUCUCAGGUGCAUCAACAGAGUCUGGCUGACUGGCUGCAGCCCGCUUUGCCACCCCAUCCAGUGCCUCCUCAAAACAAGUAAGCCAGUAUUUUCUGGCCAUGGCAUCAUCUGUGAGGUCAACAGUGUCUGGAAUAUAGGUUGAUGGGUCCUUCAGCAGUGGCAGGUUAACCAGUGGUCUCUCCAACCUAUCCAUUUCAAACAUGUCA
rnacentral:lncRNA from 1 species